GCAGCGGCUGCAGCACACUCGUAGGAAACUGCAGCAUCCUUGCCGGGUGUCAAGGUCGUUGCCGAGGCGUCGGUGUAUCGAUUUCGCCGGAGUGGAAAAUCUCCGUAUUAUAUAGCACAUACGCCAAAGCCACCACAUUGACACGGCUGAUUUGAUUGUUGACAUUGUUUGUGGAACUUUAUGGUGAUAGUAUGACUAACAAGACUUAUUACGACUGGCACCAUGCAGGUGAACCACCACAAAGCUAUAGACAAUGGAAUGUUCUUUCACAACACAUCUCAAUACCGAACCUCAAACAUCUAUUGCCUGCUUUCGGGAGCCGACCAGACGAAAUCCCCUUAUUAAAGGCUUACAGCUCCUGCCGUACCACAACCCAGGGCUUACUGAACGCGACCCGAUGCACAUAUUGAACACAUGUAUUGUCUGCAGACCACCACCGACGGUCGGGGCAUUGGCAUUCAA